GACGAACGCUGGCGGCGUGCUUAACACAUGCAAGUCGAACGAUGAACCCGGAGCUUGCUCCGGUGGAUUAGUGGCGAACGGGUGAGUAACACGUGAGUAACCUGCCCUUGACUCUGGGAUAACUGCGGGAAACUGUAGCUAAUACCGGAUACGACCCUCGGCGGCAUCGCCAGGGGGUGGAAAGAAUUUCGGUCAAGGAUGGACUCGCGGCCUAUCAGCUAGUUGGUGAGGUAACGGCUCACCAAGGCGACGACGGGUAGCCGGCCUGAGAGGGUGACCGGGCACACUGGGACUGAGACACGGCCGAGACUCCUACGGGAGGCAGCAGUGGGGAAUAUUGCACAAUGGGCGCAAGCCUGAUGCAGCGACGCCGCGUGAGGGAUGACGGCCUUCGGGUUGUAAACCUCUUUCAGCACCGACGAAGCGCAAGUGGCGGUAGGUGCAGAAGAAGGACCGGCCAACUACGUGCCAGCAGCCGCCGUAA
rnacentral:rRNA from 1 species